rnacentral:sRNA from 1 species
ACCAUAAAUCAAUUUGUUUCUCUAUUUUUCUCCAUUCCGCAUUUUCUCUAAAUUCCCAUCUAGAUUCUUCCCCUUCCACCAUCAACACUCGCCAUGAAGAAGUCCGGCAUCCUCGCCGCCUCUGUCGCCGCGGCGUCCGCCACCGCUGCCUCACUGUCCUCCUCCACCCAUCAGGAUGAUAGAAGAACUGGCGAGAACGCUUCCUCGCAGAAUUCAUCUUCUUCUUCGACGGAGAAAUUUGCACCCAGAUUUGAUGGCUUGCGUUUCAUUGAAACCCUCGUAACGGCCCACAGAUGAGAAUAUAGGUUUUCGAUUUCUCCUUCAAUCGGGCCUCGAUGUUUCUUCCUCGUUCCUCAUAUUUGAGAAAAAAUUUAAUUUUUUUUCCUCUUUUAGGAGCAUUAGAGAGAAAAUUUUUGUAAUGUUACGGGAACUAUUUUAUGUUUUUCCAGGAACUAGAAAGUUAAAGCUUUUAGGUUUUUGUUUAUUCCCAAUUUUUAACAUUAAUUAUGUGAUGGCCCUGGUAAGCCACAAUAGAAAGUCAAUUUGUCAAUGACCCGUGAUUGUACUGAAUAAUAUAUGAUAUUUGUAUUAUGGGUUGCCUCCAUUAUUAUCAGAAGAAGAAAUACGAUUGGGUGUGCAUUUUUUCCUUUGCUUUUGUUCAGCUUCAUUUCUUUUGUUGAAGGAAAUCAAUAAUGGAAUAUGAGUGGUGAAGUGGGUGUGUUGUUUCAAUUUGCAAA